AAUCAACGCUGGCGGCGUGCCUCAGACAUGCAAGUCGAACGAUUAAAGCUCUCUUCGGAGAGUGUAUAAAGUGGCGCACGGGUGAGUAACACGUAAGUAAUCUACCUUCGAGUGGGGAAUAACGUCCGGAAACGGACGCUAAUACCGCAUAAUGCAGCGGCAUCGCAAGAUGACAGUUGUUAAAGAUUUAUCGCUUGAAGAGGAGCUUGCGGCAGAUAGCUAGUUGGUAAGGUAAUGGCUUACCAAGGCUACGAUCUGUAACCGGUCUAAGAGGACGGUCGGUCACACUGACACUGAAUAACGGGUCAGACUCCUACGGGAGGCAGCAGUCGGGAAUUUUGGGCAAUGGGCGAAAGCCUGACCCAGCAACGCCGCGUGAAGGAUGAAGUAUUUCGGUAU
rnacentral:rRNA from 1 species